rnacentral:lncRNA from 12 species
GAAAAUUACAGAAGAGGCCUUCAGCCAUCCAAACAUAGAGCCAGCACAGCUGAAGGCAAACACCCUCUUGCUCCCUGCUGUGUGUCAGUGGAAGAAGGCUCAGGAUGGGGUCAGCUAGAAACCUCCAGGAGCCCAGCUCUAGUCUUAGUGGCUCACUGUAGUCAUCCUCAAUCUACCACAGCUCCAGGCAGGCAGGUGAGAAAGACUAGAGCAUAUCUGAAUGUUGAGGAAGAGUCUUUCAAGACAAGAGGGAGGCACCACAACAUAGAGAUCAGGGCACUGAGCCUGGGCCUGGGGGGCAUCUCAACAAUAGGAUGGGCAUGCUGUAGGCUCAUGGGAGACCAAUGGCUCCCAGAAGUGAAGAGAGAUGAGGAGUCUCCUGAACGAGAAGCAGCAGAGGAUGCAGUUACACCUCAAGGAGAUGAUUUGAAGGCAUCCACAACAUCCAAGAUGCUACACAAGUACGGGCUAGUUGAUUCUAUCAGCAGAAUCCUCGUACUAGAGACUAAGAGCUGA